rnacentral:lncRNA from 1 species
CCCCCAUCCAAGCUCUCCACUCACUGUCCAUCUGAAGAGGCAGCCAAAACCAAGUGAGAUUCUGGAACCGCAUUCAAAUGCAGGGAUAAUCUUGGGCAGGCUGGCUCUGAUGUGGACGAAAGCUGAGCCGACCAAGGGUCCCCACAGCUGCCCAGCUGGGCCCACCGCUCCUCCAGUAGACUUAGUUCAGCACCAGGGAAGAUGCGAGCCCCUCCACAGAGCCAGGCCCAGACUAACCAAGCAUGGGGCUACCCCUUCAGAGAAUGCUGAGCCAAGGUCCCCAUCCAGGGGCAGUGGGGUCGAGACUGCUUAUUGUUUUGAUGGACACUGUACCAAGGAGGAGAGUCCCUAGCUCCCCUAAGAUGAUCCUCCCGGAGUUCUGCAGGCUGUGACUAGGUGAAUCAGACCACAGGCUAAGAACCACUGUCGAGGCCAAAGGAAUCCACAGCCACAGGGGGGGAAAAAGGCUUCACUGGACUUGUCCAGCUCUAAACUCUCUCAGAUCUAAAGAACUGCAAAGACAGGACAAUUCACCACAUUUCGGUCACACGGGACCCAGGAACCUGGCCAGAAGGUUCAAGCCCUACCUGAACCACUCUCCACUGUUCUUGUCACAAGGCGAAAGUGGUAUUCCUUUCUUUGAGGCCAGGGCUGGAUAAAGGCAGCCCUGGGUGCUGCUAUUCUACUCUGCCGCCCCGCCCCACCCCACCCCACCCCACCCUCCAGUUUUUAUAUGAGGCUCCUUGGCAUUGUGACAUCCCCAUGGCAUAGUCUGAGAUGCACGAUAAAAUGGUUAUUUCUCUAGCUGGCAAUCUGUAGUGGUACCAUCUGUUUUUUAAUAGAAUAGGGAGACGGGAGACGCUUCAAGAAGGACAUGGGUAAAGCAGGUGCGAUUUGCUAAGUAUUUAUAAAGUAAAUUCUAAGCAUGGGAGCCUCCUGCCCUUGCUUCUAAAGACCUGGACUGCGGCCCAUGAGGACCUACCUAACGUUGUGUGAAUCUAUCGACAGCGGCUUUCUCUAUACUUCACUACGCCAUGGAUAGCUAUGUAAACUUUGCCCUGACUUAACUG